CCUACGGGGUGCUGCAGUGAGGAAUAUUGGUCAAUGGGAGAGAUCCUGAACCAGCCAAGCCGCGUGAGGGAAGACGGCCCUAUGGGUUGUAAACCUCUUUUGUCGGAGAACAAAACCCGGGACGUGUCCCGGUAUGCGUGUAUCCGAAGAAAAAGCAUCGGCUAACUCCGUUCCAGCAGCCGCGGUAAUACGGAGGAUGCGAGCGUUAUCCGGAUUUAUUGGGUUUAAAGGGUGCGUAGGCGGUCCGUUAAGUCAGCGGUAAAAGUGCGGGGCUCAACCCCGUCGCGCCGUUGAAACUGGCAGUCUUGAGUUGGCGAGAAGUACGCGGAAUGCGCGGUGUAGCGGUGAAAUGCAUAGAUAUCGCGCAGAACUCCGAUUGCGAAGGCAGCAUACCGGCGCCAGACUGACGCUGAGGCACGAAAGCGUGGGUAUCGAACAGGAUUAGAUACCCUGGUAGUC
rnacentral:rRNA from 1 species